CAUCACCGACUCAAUGGACAUGAGUUUUGAAGUUUCUUAACUGGACUUCUGAGCUCUCCCAGAGCUGUUUUCAGUUAUGGAUAUUGUGUGUUUUACAAAUUGAAGGUUUGUGGCAACCUGCAUCAAGCAAGUCUAUCGGAACCAUUUUUUCAGCAGCAUUUCUUCACGACAUAACUUUUAUAUGCAUUGGGAAACCAAAAAAUUUGUGUGCCCUGCAAUAUUGCAAUAUUGGCUUUAUUGUGGUGGUCUAGAGCUGAGCACACAGGAUCUCCG